CCCAGGGCCCUCUGCUUCUACUUUGCUUGCGUACAAGCCAAAAGCUCAGCUCAGCUCACAGUCUUGAGUGGUUCGUGAGUGAUGUGGGCGCCGUCGACCUUCAGACUUGCUUUCAUAUUGUCUGCCGACUUUGAACCUGCGUUAAGUGAUACAACGUCAUUUGUUCAAAUGGUAUUUUUAUUUUGAAGUAGAUGGCUUUUUUAGAAACAAACAAUUCUGUUUGCAUAAACUGUGUUGCAAUUAGUGUGUCAUUUCGUCUUCUUCUGCACUUAAGGAACGGAAAAAGCACUUGGGAAGGUCAUGUAAAUAAUGUGUGGGCGAACAUGUCUCGAUGUCCCGAUUUCAAUAAAUUAACAAAUGAUAUACAUC